UUUUUUUUUAUCAAAGCAUGAAAAUUAAUAUAAAUAAGUCCUUAUCCUUGGGAGUAACAAAACCAGAAUUUGAUUAUCUUUGUUAUUUACAGAUAUAAUACAAUUGGUAUAUCUUUGUGAGACACUCAAUAUUUCUUUACUUAUCAUUUUGUUACGUUUCUUAUUCUCAAUAAUAUGUACUUAAAUUAGUAAAUAUAAUUGACAACUGAUUAACAUUGAUUUUUAAUAAUAAAUUAGAACAAAAAAAACAAAACUAUGUCUAUUCCCCAGUAACCUAGUCUAUUAUCAGUUUUAUUCCCGCUUUAUCAUUUUACUUUAACUCUCACUUAUAGCGUUUUCAAUCAGACUGCACUAGUGUACAUUUAUAUUUUCCUUAUGGAAUACUGGGGCACGUUUAAGAGCAGAUUUUUAUGUUUCACAUGCGCGCACUCUACCAGUUUCUUGCCCCAAAUGCAGUGAUAAUCGUACGAACUUGUGGGCCCUAUCUUUUAUUGAUAAAGAUGCUAAUCUCGAUGUUUAAAUAAUAAUAUAAUUUUAACUAAUAAUACUAAUAAUACUAAUAAAAAGGUGGGUUAAUCCACUUU